rnacentral:lncRNA from 1 species
UAACGAUGUGGGCACAGUUUCACAGAGAGAAUUGUUUGAAACAAACUAAGUAGAGAAUUCAAAUGUCCAUCUAAAUCUCUGUCUGAAGUAGGUGAAUUAUGCUCAACAAUGUUCGGAGUACAGAGUAGCUAUUACCCUGCCCUUUAUUAGCAAAGUGAAAACCCAUUAUAGUAAACACAAUUGGAGUGUACUUUAUAAUAGGUUUUGAGAGGAGGUUUCUUUUUGAUUAAAUUUGGAUCAGCAUCAUAAAUUAUUAUAUAAAGCUCUUGGCCCAAGUACCAGUUUUUCAAUUUUUGAGACCUUAAAUUCUACAUGCCUUGAUUGUCGAGAUAUAUUGCACUCCAUCCUCCUGGGUAGACCUGCUCGAUAAAAUUGGUCCGCAACUCUUGAGCUCUGGUAAUUAAAUAACUGGGCUCUGGUAAUUGUUUAAAACUUAUUUUGAUCUGUAUACCAAAAUAUAAACCUAUAUACAUUAAUUUUCAUCUAGUGUUUUAUGCUAAAAUGAAAACACAUAAGAAACAGAAAGAUAUACCUCUUAUUCUCUCAUUGUAUUAGCUCAUACUGCUUAUUGCUUAAAUACUUAAUGGCUUGAGUCCAAAAACACUUUUGUUUCUUUUACAUUGCACUUCCUACUAUCAGAUAAAUCCAGCUAAAGCUUCUACAAUGAUGUCAAACAUAUCAAAAUGUAACUACUAUCUUCUCUAAUCAAGCAUAAAAGUAGGUAGCAUCAUCGAAUCAUUCAGAAUGCACAAAGAGGGAACCAUAUAACAUAAGAAGAGCAGAGGAGAAAAAACCUCAAAGUGACCAACACCAAUAGAUACUCCACCCUAUGAUGACACCAAUAUUCCUCUCUUGUGAUAGCACUUUCAAACACAAACCAAAUAAUAUGACAAUCCCUUGUGAUAAAUCCAAAUCCACUCAAUUGUGUUCUAUAACCCCACAUAUGAAGUAAAUGUAUAGUCGAUAGCUCUCAGGUCACAACCGAGUAAAUUAACAAAAAGAACACUAAAUACAUACCAGGAAUUAAGAAUUUGACGAGGAACCCUAGUUUUGCAGCAGACCCAGCAAAUUCAUACUGUUGAGUUAUUCAGUUAUUAUAGGACCACGUAGUUAGUAUAAUUCCUAUUUAUUAGGUGUUAGUUUAUUGUUUUUAAGCAUUAUCCAUUAUCUGUACCACUAUGUUUAGUGGGGCUGUUUCUUCUGCAUUCUGUUUUGUAAUGGCAAUAUAUAAGCCAAGUCCAGUUAUUCAAUAAAGUGUGAUUCAUCCAUCAAACAUUUGGUUACAUCUCUACAAAUUGGUAAGUGUUUAUGUGGAUGAUUUGAUAUAUACUGGUGAUGAUGAAGACAUGAUAAUGAUUUCAAAAGCUCUAUGUUAAGGGAAUUUGAUAUGUCUGAUUUGGGAGGCAUGAGGUUUUUUCUUGGUAUAGAGGUCUUGCAAAGUUCUGCUGGGAUAUAUAUAUGUGUCAAAGAAGAUAUGCAUUAGAUGUUCUAAAGCGUUUCAACAUGGAGAAUAGUAAUGCGGUCAGUAGUCCGAUUGUUCCAGGAUCAAAGUUGCAUAAAGAUGAGAAAGGAGUUAAAGUAGAUGAGACGUAUUUCAAGCAAAUAGUUGGUAGUCUUAUGUACAUCACCAACACUAGGCCUGACAUGAUGUUUGUUGUAAGUUUAAUCAGUCGCUACAUGUCUAGGCCUACAGAAUUACAUCUGCAAGCUGCUAAAAGAGCUCUUAGGUACUUGAAAGGGACUGCGAACUUUGGAAUAUUUUAUAAAAGGGAUGAAGCUGGAGAGUUUUUAUUUUAUAAAAGGGAUAAAGCUGAGGAGCUUUUCGGAUUCACAGAUAGUGAUUAUGCCGGGGAUGUUGAUGAUCGCAAAAGCACAUCUGGAUAUGUUUUUUUAAUGAACUCAGGAGCUGUUUCAUGGUCUUCAAGGAAGCAACCAAUAGUCACAUUGUCAACUACUGAAGCCGAAUUUGUGGCAGCGGCUAGUUGUGCUUGUCAGGCUAUAUGGAUGAGAAGAAUUCUAGAGAAGUUGGGGCACAAGUACAAGGGAAGCACAACAAUCAUGUGUGACAGCAGCUCAGCCAUCAAACUCUCUAAAAAUCCAGUCAUGCACGGGAGAAGCAAACACAUAGAUGUGAGGUUUCAUUUUCUGCGAGAUUUAGUCAAAGAUGGAGUGAUCAAAAUGGAAUUUUGUGGUACAAGAGAUCAAGUUGCUGAUGUGAUGACAAAGCCUUUGAAGUUGGAAGAUUUUCUGAGAUUGCGGAAAAUGCUAGGAGUGUCCGAGGUUCCACAUAAACUAAAUACUUAGUAUUCACUGCAAGUGUUUAGUUUAAGGGAGGGAUUGUUGAGUUAUUCAGUUAUUAUAGGACCACGUAGUUAGUAUAAUUCCUAUUUAUUAGGUGUUAGUUUCUUGUUUUUAAGCAUUAUCCAUUAUCUGUACCACUAUGUUUAGUGGGGCUGUUUCUUCUGCAUUCUGUUUUGUAAUGGCAAUAUACACUACAAGAGAAAGCGUUUUUACCAACGGAAAUUGCUAACGAAAAUUAGUCUGUUGGUAGUUCCCAACGGAUCUGUAACGAUUUGACUAAUCAAUGCUCUGCCAACCAAUUCGCAAUGAAAUACCUACGCUUAUUUACCAACGAGACGUUCCGUUAGGAUAUAUAGCCACACAAUGGAAUAGUAACAAAAGACCAAGGAAUUAGCAACAGACUAGCGACCAAAGCAUCUGUUGUUAGGUUCAUUGAUAUUCCGUCGAUAAAUACUAACAGUUCCGUUAGUAAUUGGUUAUUAGUUUUAGAUGACAAUUAAUACACGCUGCACGCGGAUAUUAUGCUAGUCUCCUAGUUGACAUGUGUGUAAUGCUGAAGCCCAAUGGGCUUUAGUUGAUUAAAUUGAUAUGGGUAGUAGAAAAAGUCCAAUAAUAUAAUGGAGUUUGAUAUGUAUUUUAAUAUUAAGUAAUUUUCGUGAAUUUAUAUAUGUAACACAAUUGUUAAUAGGCUCAUUCUUAAUUAGAAAUUUUAUAUUACGUUCUUAACUAGAAAUAUUACAUGUAAAUUUUUUUUAAAAAAAUUCGCUUUUUAUUUAGUAUGUGGAUUUUGUAGUCAAAUACGAGGUCAAUUUACUUAGCCUUUGAUCAAAUACCUACCAGAAACACAAAACUAUUUUUUAAACAUUUAUUUUCGACGUUCCAACUGUAUAGAUAUUAUUGUAAUGUGAUAAUACAAAUUAAAAACAUUUAAGAAAUAGCCUUUUAUUUGUUGUGGAUUUUGUAGUCAAAUGCAAUUAAAUUACUUAGCGUUUAAUGAAAAUCUUACCCGAAACAUAAAACUAUUUUUAAGAAAAUUAUUUUGGACGAUCCAACCGUACCGAUGUUAUUAUAACAUGUUAAUAUUGAUUAAAAUAAAUUUUAAAAAAUAUGUCUUUUAUUUGGUGUGUGGAGUUUGUAGUCAAAUGCGGUCAAAUUACUUAGCCUUUAAUCGAAUAUUACCCGAAACAUGAAACUGUUCUUUUAUAAAUCAUUUUGAAUGAUCCAACUGUACGGAUGUUAUUGUAACGUGAUAAUAUUGCUUAAUUUUUUUUUUUUAAAAAUUACCCUUUUAUUUGGUGUCCGGAUUUUGUAGUGCAAUGUGGUCAAAUUAUGUAGACUUUAAUCGAAUACUUUCUCGAAACAUGAAACUAUUUUUUUAAUAAUAAUUUUGGUCAACGGUACGGAUGUUAUUCUAAUGUGAUAACAUUGAUUAAUAUUUUCUUAGAAAAAAUAUUAGCCUUCUAUUUGUUGUGUGGAUUUUGUAGUCAAAUGUGGUCAAGUUGCUUAGUCUUAAUUCGAAUACUUACCUCAAAUAUGAAAUUAUUUUUCUAAAAAUUAUUUUAGACGAUCCAACCAUACAAUUGUUAUUGUAACGUGAUAAUAUUGAUUAUUUUUUAAAAAAUAAAAUUAGCCUUUAAUUUGGUGUAUGGAUUUUGUAGUCAAACGUGGCUUAAUUACUUAGUCUUUAAUGGAAUACUUAUGACAAAUAUGAAAUUAAUUUUUUUUAAAAAUGAUCUUUUAUUUGAUGUGUGGAUUUUAUUUUAAUAUAAUAUAUUACUAAAUCUAAUAAUUUUACAUAUAAAUAUGAAUACUAUUUUAUGAUAAUUCUAAGUUAUUUAAAAUAUUAUAAUAAUAAUUAAACAAAGAAAGUAUCACUUUCUUUCCGUGAAAACAUGAGCGGCAAAAUUCCCACCAAAAACAAAAGUAGUACAGUAUUUACUUUUAUCCCGAAAACACAAUUCACUCCCUCCUACUUUCUCUCUCUCUCUCCUCUCUACUAUGUCGAUCUGACCUGCCUCUCGGCUCUCACCUCUCCCGUCUCUACUCUAACAUCUCCACUAUGCGUUUUCACAUCUCAGAUAACUGAAUAAUCAGAAUAGGGUUCAUGGGUUUUCUACUAAUUGUUACUAUGUUGGACUAUUGCCAUCUAAUUUUAUUAUUUCUACUGAUUGGGUUUAAUGUCUUUGUUUUGCAGGUGAUUAGGGUUUUUCAAUUGGGGCUUUCAAUCAAGGUAAAGCAUGUCACUGUGAUUCCAAUUUUAAUUGAUGUUGAUUUGGUUUACAUUCAUGUAUUCUUUGUGGAUUAUUUAGAUUUUGUUUUAUGUGGAGAGAGAGACGGGAACAGAGAGGGAAAGAGGGUGUGGGUUAUAGCUAGGGAGAGAACUGAGAGAUGGAGAGAAGAAAGAAUAGAUAAAUUGAGAGAUGGACAAAGGAAGAAAGAGUUACAGAGAUAGAGAGAGGGGAAGAUAGAAAAAGAGUUAAUUGGGUCUGAAUUUGUUGUUGAAAACAAAUCUCUUAAUUUAAGAUUUGUUGAAAAAGUAAUAGGCUUAAGGCUGCUGAGAUAGCAUUCUAGGUUUCACUACAUUCUUACAUUCUAGGUAGCCACAUAUAUGAUUAUCUAAGUUUUAAUUUAUUCAUGAGUGGAUGACAAGUACCAAUACAUGUGUGAAAAAAAACACAAGAUCCAUGACUGGAUUUGUCUUGACCCGCUUGUAGGAUUCUGGCAAAUAACACCCUCUAAUGAGUUCUGAACAUAUGGACCUCUCAAGCAGGACUUAACCUCUCAUGCCGGCCCCGUGAAUCUUGUUGUAUGUAACUAGUUACUCAAAUUGCUUCCACAUAUCUAUCAAUGAUCGCUUCCAACUUAAACUCUAAUGAUUUUUUAUUAUUUUUCGUAUAUUUGAUUAACAAUAAGUCCAGAAAUGGAUAUUAUGAUUACAUGUAGAAAUAGCAGAAUCCUUACUUUUUGCUCAGGUGGGCACCUGAGGUAAAGCCUAUUAAUUUGAAAUAAUUUAAUAGCUAAAACUUGUUCUAGUUUUCAUGUGGAUUUUCAUGUGGACAUGCGUAUGUGUUUUCUCAGGAUUUACUUGUACUUGCCUAGAUUCUGAAUUAGCGGGAUGAAAAAAAUUAUUGCAUCUGCUUGCUUUGGAAAGAGUCUAGUUUAUCAAGUACAGUUGUGUUGGCGAGUACUCGAGAGAGCAAUGAUUUGUACAAGGAAAAGAUGUAGAAUGGUGUUAUAAAGCUCCGUGAUCAGCAGGUUUGUAAGUUGUAGAUGUAACCGAUUGAUUUGUGAUGGAAAUUGCUCUUUAAAAUGGCUUUAAACAAUUGUCUGCUUGUUUACCAUUCUUAAACAAUUGUCAUUAACUCUUAGGCUGAAGGGAUCCAUGACUGGAUUUGUCUUGACCCGCUUGUAGGAUUCUGGCAAAUAACACCCUCUAAUGAGUUCUGAACAUAUGGACCUCUCAAGCAGGACUUAACCUCUCAUGCCGGCCCCGUGAAUCUUGUUGUAUGUAACUAGUUACUCAAAUUGCUUCCACAUAUCUAUCAAUGAUCGCUUCCAACUUAAACUCUAAUGAUUUUUUAUUAUUUUUCGUAUAUUUGAUUAACAAUAAGUCCAGAAAUGGAUAUUAUGAUUACAUGUAGAAAUAGCAGAAUCCUUACUUUUUGCUCAGGUGGGCACCUGAGGUAAAGCCUAUUAAUUUGAAAUAAUUUAAUAGCUAAAACUUGUUCUAGUUUUCAUGUGGAUUUUCAUGUGGACAUGCGUAUGUGUUUUCUCAGGAUUUACUUGUACUUGCCUAGAUUCUGAAUUAGCGGGAUGAAAAAAAUUAUUGCAUCUGCUUGCUUUGGAAAGAGUCUAGUUUAUCAAGUACAGUUGUGUUGGCGAGUACUCGAGAGAGCAAUGAUUUGUACAAGGAAAAGAUGUAGAAUGGUGUUAUAAAGCUCCGUGAUCAGCAGGUUUGUAAGUUGUAGAUGUAACCGAUUGAUUUGUGAUGGAAAUUGCUCUUUAAAAUGGCUUUAAACAAUUGUCUGCUUGUUUACCAUUCUUAAACAAUUGUCAUUAACUCUUAGGCUGAAGGGUAAUUGUGCUCCUGUGUAUGGUCAAAUGAAUGAACCACCUGGUUCUGAUGCUCUGGUUGGAUUUACUAAGCUAGCAGUAGCUGAGCACUUCCGAGAUGCUGAGGGGCAAGAUGUCCUUUUAUUAGUUGACAACGAUAAGCUGCUCAAUCUGGACAUCAAANUAUUAUUUUUCGUAUAUUUGAUUAACAAUAAGUCCAGAAAUGGAUAUUAUGAUUACAUGUAGAAAUAGCAGAAUCCUUACUUUUUGCUCAGGUGGGCACCUGAGGUAAAGCCUAUUAAUUUGAAAUAAUUUAAUAGCUAAAACUUGUUCUAGUUUUCAUGUGGAUUUUCAUGUGGACAUGCGUAUGUGUUUUCUCAGGAUUUACUUGUACUUGCCUAGAUUCUGAAUUAGCGGGAUGAAAAAAAUUAUUGCAUCUGCUUGCUUUGGAAAGAGUCUAGUUUAUCAAGUACAGUUGUGUUGGCGAGUACUCGAGAGAGCAAUGAUUUGUACAAGGAAAAGAUGUAGAAUGGUGUUAUAAAGCUCCGUGAUCAGCAGGUUUGUAAGUUGUAGAUGUAACCGAUUGAUUUGUGAUGGAAAUUGCUCUUUAAAAUGGCUUUAAACAAUUGUCUGCUUGUUUACCAUUCUUAAACAAUUGUCAUUAACUCUUAGGCUGAAGGGUAAUUGUGCUCCUGUGUAUGGUCAAAUGAAUGAACCACCUGGUUCUGAUGCUCUGGUUGGAUUUACUAAGCUAGCAGUAGCUGAGCACUUCCGAGAUGCUGAGGGGCAAGAUGUCCUUUUAUUAGUUGACAACGAUAAGCUGCUCAAUCUGGACAUCAAAUACAAGCUCAAUCUGGGCAGCAUCUUUUUGAAUAUCCACAUUUUGAAUAUGUAUUAAAUAAUGAAAUUUUAGAAUCAUUAUAAAUUUGUUGUUUCUAUUUCUUUAUUUUUCACAAAAAUAUCUUAAGAUGUAUAGCUCUUGGAAAAAAUAUAUUUGUGUUGUUUAUACUAGAAAUAAUUUAAAUUCUCUUGGUAAAGUGAUGAGAAUUUUGUAGUAAUAUGGUUGGAAAAGUUAUAGUAACAUGUCUAUUAGCAUUUCUUUUACUAAAUGUACCAAUAGAAUUUCUUUAGCACCUCUGUUAUUAAAUUGUUAUCAAAUGUACCAACAGAAUUUUUGUUACUAGAUGUACCAACAGAAUUUUGUUGGGAAAAUGUCGUUAACUAUACCAACCAAAAAUAUUCCGUUGGCAUGCUCGUUAUAACAUUGCUGUUGUAAGAAAUCAGAAAUCUGUUAUUAGUGUGUUGGUAUUCCGUUAGUAAAUUUAGUAACGAAUUUGUUCUGUUAGCAUGAACUUCCCGACGGGCUAUAUGCCAACAGAUUAUUUUCAUUAUCAUUCCGUUGGCAGGGUGAUUUGCCAACGGAAAUCCCUGUCGUGCCAACAGAAAUUUCUGUUAUUAAAAAUGAAUUUUCUUGUAGUGAUAUAAGCCAAGUCCAGUUAUUCAAUAAAGUGUGAUUCAUCCAGCAAACAUUUGGUUACAUCUCUACACAUACAACCCAGGAGAAUCCGGAGAUGUCCCAACCACUGAAUACUCUUCGAGAGAAGUCCCAACCGCCGAAUCAUCUUCGAACAAUUAAGACAGAGUAGAGAAUCGAGAGACUGAGAGAGAAUAGAGAAAACUGAGCACUGCAAUUGAGAGACUGAGCAAAGAAUCGAGAGAACUGAGCAAUUGAUUCCGUGGAGUACUGGCAGCAAUUGAUUGUGUUUUGGCGAGAGUACUUGCAGCAAAUCGAAAGCAAUUGAUUGUAAGCAAAUUGGGUUCGAACUCU